UACGUAGGCAGCAAGCGUUGUUCGGAGUUACUGGGCGUAAAGGGUGCGUAGGCGGCUUUUCAAGUCUGGUGUGAAAUCUCCCGGCUCAACUGGGAGGGUGCGCCGGAUACUGAGGGGCUAGAGUGUGGGAGAGGAAAGUGGAAUUCCUGGUGUAGCGGUGAAAUGCGUAGAUAUCAGGAGGAACACCGGUGGUGUAAACGGCUUUCUGGACCAUAACUGACGCUGAGGCACGAAAGCGUGGGUAGCAAACAGG
rnacentral:rRNA from 1 species